AAUUAUUACCAAAUAGAAGGAGUAAAGUAGUAUUAAUAUAAUGGAUGUCGAAAAUGAGAGCGUAGGACCUUACAUGUCAAAGGAGUCUUCCGUCGGAAAAGCAUUGGCUUCUUCAACAUUCAGUGCAUCAGAGCCAGUCCACGUGUUCAGCAAUUUCGGUGACGGAGAUUGCGGAGAGCCCCUGGAGGCACAUCAUCUUCGCCUGGACUUUACCCCCACGGACGACGACGAUGACUAUUCCCAGAAGAAAUGCUGCGAAUUCUGGAAGUACAUUGAAAGUAGAAGUGACUUAAGAGGCAUGAUGGUUCUGCCGGAAAAAGCAAAAUCUUCCCAGAGUACUGACACAGUCUCCGUCCACAAUGUCCACAAACCAGCUAUGAAGGAGCAGGUAUCAAACCCAAAGACAGCCGUCUCAAUGCUUCAAAUAGUCGAAGAGAAAGGUUUAAUAGAUCGAGCUUUCGAAGCGAAGAUACAACAAUCGCGAUGCACACUGGGUUCUCACGACUAUGAACUGAGCCCGAAGGUUAAACAAACAAGUGAGUUAAAGAGUGCCCUUGUCCCAAUCCCUGCGUGAAGUGCCCAAACGCUCCUACUUCUACUGCCCGUGCACUUUGUGAGGAACUGGGGGCUUGGGAUAUUAACCAUCCGAAGUCAAUCGAGCCGCCGAGCCAUCCCCCCUCUGUUUAACAAGAAAGUAC